CUUCUAUGACGUUAGCGGCGGACGGGUGAGUAACACGUGGGCAACCUGCCUGUAAGACUGGGAUAACUCCGGGAAACCGGAGCUAAUACCGGAUAACAUUUUCUCUUGCAUAAGAGAAAAUUGAAAGAUGGUUUCGGCUAUCACUUACAGAUGGGCCCGCGGUGCAUUAGCUAGUUGGUGAGGUAACGGCUCACCAAGGCAACGAUGCAUAGCCGACCUGAGAGGGUGAUCGGCCACACUGGGACUGAGACACGGCCCAGACUCCUACGGGAGGCAGCAGUAGGGAAUCUUCCGCAAUGGACGAAAGUCUGACGGAGCAACGCCGCGUGAGUGAUGAAGGCUUUCGGGUCGUAAAACUCUGUUGUUAGGGAAGAACAAGUACAAGAGUAACUGCUUGUACCUUGACGGUACCUAACCAGAAAGCCACGGCUAACUACGUGCCAGCAGCCGCGGUAAUACGUAGGUGGCAAGCGUUAUCCGGAAUUAUUGGGCGUAAAGCGCGCGCAGGCGGUUUCUUAAGUCUGAUGUGAAAGCCCACGGCUCAACCGUGGAG
rnacentral:rRNA from 1 species